rnacentral:rRNA from 1 species
UACGAGGGGGGCGAGCGUUGUUCGGAAUUAUUGGGCGUAAAGGGCGCGUAGGCGGUCGGAUAAGUCUUGUGUGAAAUCUUCGGGCUCAACUCGAAGUCUGCACAGGAAACUAUCUGGCUUGAGUGUGGGAGAGGUGAGUGGAAUUCCUGGUGUAGCGGUGAAAUGCGUAGAUAUCAGGAGGAACACCUGUGGCGGAAGCGGCUCACUGGACCACAACUGACGCUGAGGCGCGAAAGCUAGGGGAGCAAACAGG